rnacentral:tRNA from 2 species
GGAGGGGUGGCUGAGUGGUCGAAAGCACCGGUCUUGAAAACCGGCGUAGGUAAUCCCUACCGUGGGUUCGAAUCCCACCCCCUCCGCCA